rnacentral:lncRNA from 1 species
AGAAUAUCAAAACAACAACAAACUUGUGAACGAACGUGAAAUGUGUUGUGAACUGGUGCGAACGAACGUGCGACAGCGGUCACCGCGAUGAAAGUUAUUCAUUUCGCAACAUUUUACCUGUUUUAAUUCUGCAACCUAGAAUGGUGAGUGCAAGUAACUAUGACUGAACUGUGCGCUCAAGUAAUUCUUUCACUCAACUAGAUCAAUUCUGGUACGUUAUGUUCUCUUGACUCAAUCAUGUCCAGAAAGUAUUUCGUGUCACAGUGGAUGAAUAUUCUCAUUCUUCUAACUCUCCUAUCAAGCUACUAUGAUUGUUCCGCGGAGAAGCUAUCCAAGUCAGAUGUCACAUCCUCAAAUAGCACUGCUGUGAACUCUGGAUCAGGUCACUUAUCUCCAAUUAAACAUGACAAUUUGGAGGUGAAUGAACUUCAUAAAAAACAUUCCAGCACUGUCGUUGCUCGGAAAGGUGUUAGUCUGUCAGACGAGGAAACUAGCUCAUCUUCAGAUUCAAGCUCCAACUCAUCGUCUAAAAUUCAUUCAUCUGCAAGUGGGGUGGCCCAGAGUCCAGAAAAGAAAGUUCUCAAAUUAGAUAUUAGUGUAAAAAAUAUUAGUAAUGUGGUUAAUGAGACGAAGCCUGUUCCUGGAAAUGUGUCUUCAGUUUCCGGAAAAAGGAAUGUAACGGUAGCCUCCACUACUGCAGAACCUAUAACAAAACCACCUUUCACAUCUGAUGACUAUUCGAUCGCUGAUUAUGAUGAAACAAAAAACUCGUAUUCCUCUAAUGCUAGUAGUUUCUUAACAACUUUUUCGCUGUGUGUCAUUAUUGUUUUUCUGAUCGUAUUGAGUAUCGUUUUAUUUCUUAGGCUGAAGUAUAAAUUUUCGGUCCAUCAAAAUUAUCGCCGAGUUGAUUACUUAAUCGACGGCAUGUAUCUGUGAUGGUUGAACCUCAUGAAUUUCACUUACAACUCUUUCAAAAAGCUUUAAUCUGCUGACUCCAGGGCAAUUUGACUGAAUUGAAUUUCAGAAAUUCAAUGUGUGUUUUUAUUUAAGCAUUGCCUACUUAUUUGAUCAGACACUUUUGUUGACUUUUUAAUUCCAAAAGACUAAGUACUGCCGCGCUCUGUGGGAUGCAAUCACUGCCUGAACAAUAAUUGGGCAGCUUUCCCCUCCUCCUUCAGUUGUACAUUUUGGGAAAAAAAAAAUUUGCUCAAGAAAGCGUCCUAGAAAUGAACAAAUCUUAGGUGAAGCAAGUGAAAUAAGUGGUAGAAAAAAAAGGAACAAAAUUUGCUAGCUGUAGACAAUGGAAUCAAUUUCUGCCUAUUUCUACAAAUGUUAAUUAUUCUAUUGAUGACUUAUGGGUUUGGGUUUAGAUGUAGACAUCCUCGGUAUGCCCUAAAAUUAGGGCAUGAGGACCGUGCGGGGAACCAGGGAGCCGCAGUUUCAGAGCGGCGGAACAUUUAAAGUACCACUGAGUAAAUGGCCAGUCGUUACAAUGCUGAUCUAUAAAUACAAUCAUCAUAUCAAUGAUAUUGAACAUAACAAGGUCUUCAGUAGCAAUUUUUAGAGUUAAGUACUUUCCAAAAAAAAAACACUAUGAUAAAUAAUUUGAAUUGUCAUUUGCAAUGUUGAAUCGUGUUAAUUAUUUACAACAUGUAAGAUGAAAAUUGUACAUUUCUUUGUACAAAGCAAACAUAAUUUAAUAAACAAUAGAUGAGAGCAAUAGCUCUUAUAUUCAUCAUAUUUACACAACACAAAGAGAGAAAACUAAUUUUGGUGUUUUGCCUGCAAGGUGACACUUUCUUGAACAUCGAGGAAAGCAUACUCGAAUAUCAAACGCCACAAAAUUUUAAAUUAAAAAAAUCGUGUUCCUCUUCUUAGGCAAAACGACUCCCCGGAGUAUGGUUUUUUUUUUUUUUUUUUUUUUUUUUAAUUCUAUGGGUUUUCCACAGUUUAACAGGUAUCCUUAAUCCUUAUCAGACUUGCAUUUUUUUAUAUCAUUCCAAAGAAUAUUGAAACACCAGAAACACCAAUAACAACUCAUUGUCAAUCAGCCGUGAAAUACGAAUAUGAGAUUUUCAUAUUGAUGGACGAAGCAUCUGGUGCUUAAUAUACGAAAUACAUACUGGUGAAGAGAAAAUUUCCAUCGCUUUCAUAAAUAAUUGUUUAAUGUACCUAUUUUUAAUCCAAGUUUUCCAGUUUAGGUUCUUAAACUGUUAUUUGAAAAGUUUAAGCUUCACAUCUCUCACUUAACUCUUUUAUAUUGUCGGGUAUUCUUUUUUUAUUUUGUUACUAUAGUUUUUGCAAGUGAAACUGCAGGUCUUCAUCUAUAGGAAACAAAUUAUAAAGUGAAGGAAUUCCAUUUUUAUACUUAUCCGGCCACUCUAUAUUUAUUGAAAGGCACUCCAUCUUUCAUGUUCCUUUGUAAGAAGUCUACAAAUCUUACUAGAUCUGAUCUCCUGAAUUACCUGGGUUGAAAUUUUUAAUACAUAGCAGCUUAUUUUUUUCGUUUUCUGUGAACAGAAACUCAUGACAAUUACUUAAGAGAGUAACUAAAUGCUGAACACCAGUUUUUCUUUUCCUCCUCUUCACUUAAAAGAAUAGAAAGAGGAUGAAAAGUUGGUUUCAUCAGUGAUUUUUUUUGUCUCUGAAAGUGACAGAACCUUGCAUUUACCUCAACUAUUGUAAGCUAUUUUUAUUUUGGAAAUUCUUGAUUUCCAAAAAUGCAUUUAUUAUGCUAUUUUUUUUCCAUGAUUCUUGUUAAUCCUUUGACUGCUUUCAAUUGCAUGAAUUUUAUUCUUGGAAUUUAAAUCUUGUGCAAAAUAGACUGACAUUGGGAAAACCAGUUGUUUCUAAAAAUGUCCUGUUUUCUACAGUAUUGGUAGAGAAAUAAUUAUCUACCCCUAAGAAUUGUUGGCAAAUCCAAAGAGCAUUUGAAAAUGCUGAAGUUUUGCCAGUGAGCUAACAUGGGCCUGGAACAUCAGUUGCUCAUCAAAAUGGUGUCAUGACAGAUGUAAACUUUUAUUUAAAGCAAUCUAAAUUUUUCCUUACUACAAGAUAUAAGUACAAAAAUGUUGAUGGUAAUAAAAAAAAUAGUGUAUUUCCUUCGGAAAAUACACUAAAAGGAAGAGUCUUCUUUAAAGGCUAUGAACUUACUGAAUUUUAUAAUUCAGUUUCAAAAUAUUUACCUACUGUGUAACCAGGUAACCCAAUACAUCUUCUCGAGCAUCUUUUUUUUUUAAGGUUUUCUCCUGGAUGAGAAUAAUACAAAAAUCCUACAAUUAUUUAUUCUUCCAUUUGUAAAGAAAUGAGGGUUCUUAGGUUGAAAAUUGAAUUUAUGAAAAGUGUGAAGAGAAAUACUGAACAAUUUUUACGCUUUCAAUAGCUUAUACAUGAAAAAUUUGAUAAAAUUACUUUGAUUAAUUUUAUAAAUUUUAAAAUUACUCCUUCUUUCGAUUUUUUUCUUUGAUAUUAAUAAGACUAGGUACCUUCAGUGUAAUUCUUGCGAUGACUGUUAAGUAGUGCUUAAGAAAUAUGACCUAUAUUUAUUUGAAAAAAGAAAUAAAAGUAAGGUAUUGACUCUCGCUAAACUAUGAUAGAAUUUCCCUUGAAGGCGGUAUUCGUCCGCAAAAAAUAAGAAUCAGUGAAAGCAACCACUUUUAGAAAAAGACUAUUCCUAAUGUUUGGUAUUUUCCUGUAACGAGCUCUAACGUUUAUUUUCAGGAAGUCUAUCGCAAAAAUCUGCAAAUUUAAGUACAGGAAGGUUCUAUUCAAAAUGUUCAUUUCUGUCUCUAAAGAAUAACAACUUUUGACCUCAAAAACAGUAAUGUUUUAACUUUUAAGUUUAUUCUUCGUACCAUCAAGGUUUGUAACUUUUGAUAGUUGUGUACACUGUGAUUUUUGUUGAAAUCUCUUAACUUUAUUUUUCUACUAAUUUAUUGUGUUUUGAAAGACCUUAAUAGAAAAAAAAGAAGAAAAUGUGUCUAGGUAUAUCUGCCACUUUUUCUCUGUGAGUGUUUGUUAAUGUUAAUUAAAAUGUUUUAGUAAUGUAUCAAUUGUUAGAUUUCAUUAUUUUCCUGUUGCAUCCAUUAGAAGUCUGACAUCAUCAGACCAUGAUUGUGUCUGAAAUUAAGGGUAGUAUUAGGUCAGCUGAAAAAUUGUCAAGAUAGUACCAUCUCCUGUUAGCCUUUUGAAUCUAAUAAGUAGUUUUGACUUAGUUGAAAAACUUGCCGUAAUUUUGCCCACUGACAUUGCAUAUCUGUAAACAUGAAGGGGCGCUUUGUCAUACUUGGAUUUUUUGAUCAAGUCUGUGGAAUUAGUCCUCCAACAACUGUUACAAAAUACUCUUUGGUGGCACCCUUUUAGUGGCAAGUUUACG